UAUUGGAGAGCAUCGGGUCAUGCUUGCGCCAACCCGGUCAGGUUCGGAAGAAAGCAGCCGUAACGAUUUAGGAUGAGGUCGAUGUUUCUCCGCCUUGA
rnacentral:SRP_RNA from 1 species